rnacentral:misc_RNA from 1 species
AAGUCGUAACAAGGUUUCCGUAGGUGAACCUGCGGAAGGAUCAUUAGUGAAUUAUAGGGCGUCUACUUGUAGAGCCUGACCUCCACUUUCUAACACUGUGCACUUGAUGGCGAGGUAAUGGAACUUUCGAGUGAAACUACCUUGCGGCUUCAUUUUAAACAUUAGUCAAAGUAUGUAAUGAAAUAUUAAAACAAAAAAA